UACCAGUAUAAUAUCUAUAAGAAGAUCAACCCCAACACACUUAAUCAUCAGAUUCUCUAAGGUUGAAAUGAAAGAAAAAUUGUUAAAGGUAGCCAGAGAGAAAGAACAGGUCAUCUAAAAAGGGAAGUCCCUCAGACUAACAACAGACCUCUUAGUAGAAACCCUCCAAGCAGAAGAGACUAGGGAACAAUAUUCAACAUUUUUUUUCUUCUUUUUGUUUCUGUUCUUGUUUUUGUUUUGGGUG